CCUGCAAAGACGAGACCACAACCGGCCGGGUUAGAGGACGCAGUGCCCGGGGGUGGGGCGGCGGGGUGGGGUCGUCCCCGCCCGGGAUCCUCUGACCCGGCCUGCGGAAAGCCUGGGGAAUCGGUAGCAAGUUCUAGAGUCUUUCUCUGUGUGGUCCUGGGCAAGUGCCUGCUCCCAACCGGGUCCUUUUCCUAUCUGUAACACGACCGAGGUCGUAGAAGCCAACAUCUGAAGUUUUUGCUGUUCGGCUUGAGGAUUUUGGAUUCAGAGUGGCUAUGCUCCAUCCCUUGGUUUAAUAGAUGGAGAGAAUCUGACUCGGAACGGGGCCACUGAGGCCCAGAAGAAAGAAGGCCCUUGUUCAAAGCCACACCCUGGGGACUAGAACCCAGAUCAUCUGCGCCUACUCUCCUCUGCCCCCACGCCAUCCCUGGGCCUUGGAGCGGGGUCCCCGCACUCACGCAAGCCAUGAUUGAGGACAGGAGGAUGUUCCUGCGGACUGCGGCACCAGCGGUGUCAAGACUCUAGGAGAGGAGAGAGCUGGGCCCCCGGGGCCGCUCCCACCCUUUUAACUGGACCAGACUCCGGUGAGUCCCGCCCCCCCGGGCGUCCAACCAAUUGUAAGUCAGGACAGAGAAGGGGGCCCCACUGGAGGCGGAGUCAAUGGAAUUUUGAAGCCCUUCGGGAGCAGAGGUGACCAAUCGGAGCGGUAGCACACUGCUGGGGCCGGACCUGGCCAUGAACCUGAGUAAGUAGCAUGUUGCUGGCUCUAAGGGGAGUCAUGAACAAGCACCGUGGUGCCGAGGAGACUGUCCAGAGUGUGAAGAGGGUGGGUUUUGAAGGACGGAUGAAGAAGGAGGGCCUGGCUUUCCAGCGUGAGCAAAGGCGCAGACCGGAACGGUGAACAUCUGGGCAUGGCUGGAGUUUGGGGGCCACGGACACCCUCCGCCUGAUCAAGUCCUGGACCGAGGAGCAGAGGUGGUUCCGGCACAGUCCUUUCCUGGCUGCGUCGCGUGGGUCUGGCUGGCUGUCCCAGCCCAGCAGGUGGGCUCCCAGGGCAUCAAGAGCUGCUUCCCCCCUGCUUCCCCCAACUUGGAAGACAGGCCCAGCACCACGAAGCGUUUGCUGUUGGACGAGGGGCUGCUUUAUUCUCCAGGGUCUGGCCAGCCGAGGGCUGGUAGAGAAUCAGCAUGGCGUGGGGAACAGGCCUCCAGAAAGGCCCCUCUGGGAGUCUGGGGAGUUGGAAUCCGGUCCCAGCCCUGCCACGCCGUCCCCCAGGGCAUCCUGGCAAAUCAGUCUGCCCAUCUGUAAACUGGGGAGGUGAAACCCUGCUCUCCUACACAAGGUUGCUACGGGGUGGAAUUCACGUCUGUUGCACUAAAUAGGUGAUUCCCCACCCCGACCCCUCCCCCCCGCAAUCUCAGAAGGUUUUAGCUUCCCUCUUGUCUCUUUCUAGGCUGAGCUUACCUUUCUGGGGUCAACACCUCUGGGAAGUCUCCCUCUUACCCCCACCUUAACCCCAAUAGUCCCUGCCAGCCUAUGCUGGAGCAGGGAGUCUCUCCAGAUUCCAGUGUCCCCUGUAACAGGGGUCAUGGUUUUCCCGGGUAGGGGCAGGGACCAGGUGCACUGUGUGUGCCGAGCUCCCGCCCAGUCCUCGGGGCCUCCUAGCGAUGGCACCCACUUAUCUGCCCGGCCCUGUGCCCGGCGCCUUGCUUUCAUACAUUAUCUCAUUUCAUCUACACCUCCCCCCUGCCUGAUGCUUGCCAGCUGGGAUGUACCGCACAGGGAAGCCGCUCCGGGCCCUGAAAUGAAUGAAGCUGGUGUCAGAAUCGGGAGAAGGGAGGCGAGUCCUAAUUUGGGGGCUGCCUGACUGUGACUGCGGCCAAGGACCUUACCCUCGCUGAACCUGUUUCCAGGCCUGGAAAGUGGGAACGUUAGCAUUCACUGACUGGCUGCAGGAUUACAGAGGUGAUGUGGGGGGGGGCUCCACAUUAGUUCUCUCUUCUGCACCCUCAAGGCCAAGGCUCCCCACCAGGGGGGCUCUCUUUCUCCGUCACUGCUCUGCAGCAGAGGCAGUGAACUCUCUGGAAUAUUCCCCCAUUCUAACAGGCAGCUCUACAGGCUGGACCUUGGCCGCUGCUGUUAGAAAUGAGCUCAGCACCUCUGGACAGGGGACCCAGGCCAGCGCAGCCCUUCCCAGACUGCCGACUCCUGCCCUGUCCUGCCCGCUCCUGCCCUGCCCGUGUGAAGGCGGUCCCUCCUCCAGCCGGCAGUGGCAGGGAGGGCUGCCAGACGCAUUGAAACACCAUCCACACCCCUCAGCCAACCUGACUGGCCCAGCCGGGGAUGGUGGAGGUGACCAGAGCAGGCUCCGAAGUCCUAGAAGUCAGAGCAGGAAAGGACCCCAGAGAUUCUGCACCUGAUCUGCUGCCUCAUUUAAGGAUGGAGCAGAAGCCACCCAAAGAGACCGGCUACUUGGCCAAGGUCACACAGGGAGCUAGGGCUGAGGUGACUUCCGUCUAUGGAGCCAAGGAAAGAACGUGAUCCCGGGAUACCUGGACCUCAAAAAGUGAUCUUUUCCGGGGCGCCUGGGUGGCUCAGUCGGUUAAGCGGCCGACUUCGGCUCAGGUCAUGAUCUUGCGGGUUUGUGGGUUCGAGCCCCGCGUCGGGCUCU